rnacentral:rRNA from 1 species
CAAGGUAGCCUUGACAUGGUAGGACGACUUCCAGAGAUGGAUUUCUCCCUUCGGGGCCUACACACAGGUGCUGCAUGGCUGUCGUCAGCUCGUGUCGUGAGAUGUUGGGUUAAGUCCCGCAACGAGCGCAACCCUCGUCUUUAGUUGCUACCAUUUAGUUGGGCACUCUAAAGAAACUGCCGGUGAUAAGCCGGAGGAAGGUGGGGAUGACGUCAAGUCCUCAUGGCCCUUACGCGCUGGGCUACACACGUGCUACAAUGGCGGUGACAGUGAGCAGCGACCCCGCGAGGGUGAGCUAAUCUCCAAAAACCGUCUCAGUUCGGAUUGUUCUCUGCAACUCGAGAGCAUGAAGGCGGAAUCGCUAGUAAUCGCGGAUCAGCAUGCCGCGGUGAAUACGUUCCCAGGCCUUGUACACACCGCCCGUCACACCAUGGGAGUUGGUUUCACCCGAAGGCAGUGCGCUAACCGCAAGGAGGCAGCUGACCACGGUGGGAUCAGCGUCUGGGGUGAAGUCGUAACAAGGUAGCC